GAUGAACGCUGGCGGCGUGCCUAAUACAUGCAAGUCGAGCGAACAGACGAGGAGCUUGCUCCUCUGACGUUAGCGGCGGACGGGUGAGUAACACGUGGAUAACCUACCUAUAAGACUGGGAUAACUUCGGGAAACCGGAGCUAAUACCGGAUAAUAUAUUGAACCGCAUGGUUCAAUAGUGAAAGACGGUUUUGCUGUCACUUAUAGAUGGAUCCGCGCCGCAUUAGCUAGUUGGUAAGGUAACGGCUUACCAAGGCAACGAUGCGUAGCCGACCUGAGAGGGUGAUCGGCCACACGGGAACUGGGACACGGUCCAGACUCCUACGGGAGGCAGCAGUAGGGAAUCUUCCGCAAUGGGCGAAAGCUUGACGGAGCAACGCCGCGUGAGGGAUGAAGGUCUUCGGAUCGUAAAACUCUGUUAUUAGGGAAGAACAAAUGUGUAAGUAACUAUGCACGUCUUGACGGUACCUAAUCAGAAAGCCACGGCUAACUACGUG
rnacentral:rRNA from 1 species